rnacentral:snRNA from 1 species
GGAUGUGAGGGUGAUCUGGCUGCAACAUCUGUCACCCCAUUGAUUGCCAGAGUUGAUUCAGCUGGCCUGGCUGGCUAGGCAGGUGUCUCCGUCCUCCCUUGCCACUCCCUGUGUGUCCACCCUGAAGUAGUGCGCUAGGUCUAAAAGGAUGAAGACCUUCCCUGUUAAAGGAGGACCAUUCUUUAGUCCACGUAGCUGCACUCUCCUGCUAUAACCUCCACACAAGCUCUCAAGAAUUGGCACAGCAACUGGACCAAUACAAUCACAUUGCUAUAAAAAUAAUCUUAAACAGAUUUU